rnacentral:misc_RNA from 1 species
GAUGAAGAACGUAGCGAAAUGCGAUAAGUAAUGUGAAUUGCAGAAUUCAGUGAAUCGUCGAAUCUUUGAACGCACAUUGCGCCCCCUGGAAUUCCGGGGGGCAUGCCUGUUCGAGCGUCUCAGGGACGAACCCUCGCGCGGGUGUACGCGCGGUCGUGGCUGCGGUGGCGUGCCCGAGGCGGCGGCCACCGCGCUGGAAUCCAUGGGCGGACGCCUGCCGCGUGGCCGAGCGUGAUAUGACGCAUUGGCGCUCGCACGCGGCGAGGCUGCCAGCCCUGGCCCGUCUGUCGGGCGGGGGAGAGCAAGACACGUGAACUCCUCGAAUCAGGUAGGGAUACCCGCUGAACUUAAGCAUAUCAAUAAGCGGAGGA